GAUUAACGCUGGCGGCGUGCAUAACACAUGCAAGUCGAACGAUGAAACUCAUUAGAUUUCUUCGGAAUGAAAAUGAAUGGAUUAGUGGCGAACGGGUGAGUAACGCGUGAGUAACCUGCCUUACACAAGGGGAUAGCCUCUGGAAACGGAGAAUAAUACCCUAUGAAAUUACAGCUUCGCAUGAAGCAGUAAUCAAAGUGUUAGCGGUGUAAGAUGGACUUGCGUCUGAUUAGCUAGUUGGUGAGAUAAAAGCUCACCAAGGCAACGAUCAGUAGCCGGCUUGAGAGAGUGUACGGCCACAUUGGGACUGAGACACGGCCCAGACUCCUACGGGAGGCAGCAGUGGGGAAUUUUGCACAAUGGGGGAAACCCUGAUGCAGCGACGCCGCGUGAUUUAGAAAGCCUUCGGGUUGUAAAAAUCUUUUGUAUAGGAAGAAAAUGACAGUACUAUACGAAUAAGGUCCGGCUAAUUACGUGCCAGCAGCCGCGGUAAUACGUAAGGACCGAGCGUUGUCCGGAAUCAUUGGGCGUAAAGGGUACGUAGGCGGGUUUUUAAGUUAGAAGUCAAAGGCUAUAGCUCAACCAUAGUAAGCUUCUAAAACUGGGGACCUUGAGUAAUGGAAGGGAAAGUGGAAUUCCUAGUGUAGCGGUGGAAUGCGCAGAUAUCAGGAAGAACACCGGUGGCGAAGGCGGGUCUCUGGGCCGUUACUGACGCUGAGGAGCGAAAGCGUGGGGAGCGAACAGGAUUAGAUACCCUGGCAGUCCACGCCGUAAACGUUGGGCACUAGGUGUGGGGGGCCUUUUCCGGGUUUUCCGCGCCGUAGCUAACGCAUUAAGUGCCCCGCCUGGGGAGUACGGCCGCAAGGCUAAAACUCAAAGGAAUUGACGGGGGCCCGCACAAGCGGCGGAGCAAGCGGAUUAAUUCGAUGCAACGCGAAGAACCUUACCAAGGCUUGACAUGUGCCGGUCGGCUCCGGAGACGGGGUUUCCUCCUUGUGGGGCCGGUUCACAGGUGGUGCAUGGUUGUCGUCAGCUCGUGUCGUGAGAUGUUGGGUUAAGUCCCGCAACGAGCGCAACCCUUGUCUCGUGUUGCCAGCACGUUGUGGUGGGGACUCGCGGGAGACUGCCGGGGUCAACUCGGAGGAAGGUGGGGAUGACGUCAAAUCAUCAUGCCCCUUAUGUCUUGGGCUUCACGCAUGCUACAAUGGCCGGUACAGAGGGCUGCGAUACCGUGAGGUGGAGCGAAUCCCUUAAAGCCGGUCUCAGUUCGGAUCGGUGUCUGCAACUCGACACCGUGAAGUUGGAGUCGCUAGUAAUCGCAGAUCAGCAACGCUGCGGUGAAUACGUUCUCGGGCCU
rnacentral:rRNA from 1 species